CACUCGGUCUAACUGUGUCAGGAGCCCUCACCCUGGGCUGUGCACGGGGAUGGCCUGGGAAGCUUUAGAAUGCUGAUGCCCAGGCCCCGGCCACACGAAUGGGGACUGGGUACCAGCCUUUGUUAAAGCCUCCCGGCGAGAACCCCCGGCCCUGAGCAGAAGGAACUCGGCUAACCCGCACGUGGAGGGGCCAGCGUGGAGCCUGCGGACGCGGACACCCUACCUGGUAGGUCUUGGUCUUCAUCGCCAUGACAGCAUUGAUGGGCACCAUGAGGACCAUCACAGCCACCCCAGCCAGGACGGAAGGGCCCAGGUUCUGAGGAAGGAAAGGAGACUCUAUCACUCACCACACAGGGGAGGACAAGGGCCUUCACAGUGUACAGGGACUCUGCCCAGCCAGCUCCGGGCAAGAUGCAUUACUUUUACCCAACGUCUGGAUGUGAGGAGUUUGCAGAUUUAUUUCUGAGCGUCUCUCGGGGUCCUCCCAACCCCUCUAAGAAUAUGCAGUUCCACAAUCCCCCACCACAGCCCCUCAGGGCUGGGUGAGUUCUGCAAGAGUUGUAGGAAGGUUAGUAGAAAUAGUGCACACGGCCGCCUGUUUAUCUUGCUUGAAGGCUGUUUCCAAGUUUGGCUCUUGUGUGGAGCCCAGAAACUUGGAUUUCAAGGGGGUUUCCACCAUUCAAAGAACUGAUAGGAGGGGCUCUCUCUGUGCCUUAACUGUCUGUACAAACCGUAUAGUUUAUGCUGAACACCCCCCUUUCCUUCUGGGAGUUCGGACUUUCGGGAUGUGCCAGGCAAAGGGUGUUUAUGUGACCGACCCCCAGUAAAAACUCUGGGUGCUGAAUCUCUACCGAGCUUGCCUGCUUGGCAAGAUUUCACACGUGUAAUCCUAACUUGUUGCUGGGAAAUCAGGUGCACCCUAUGUGACUCUCCCGGGCAAGGACUCCUGGAAGCUUGCACCUGGUUUCUCCCGGACGUUGUCCCAGGUACCUUUAUUCUUGCUAACGUUGCUGGAUUAAAUUAUAGCCGUGGAUAUGACUACGUUAUGAGGCCUGUGAGUCCUCCUGGCAAAUCAUCGAAUCUGGUGUGGUCUCCGGGACCCCGACACAGAAGCCCAGUGGGUGUCUGUCAUUUGCAACCAAAGCGGCCUUAACUAAGACGGGGAUUCAGCAAAGCAGAGACACUGGCUGUGGGCCCAGGGCGGCACGCCGCGGCCCCCUAAGGCGGUGAGUAACACGAGUGAAAGGUCACACUAAGGAGACGGGAGCCCGGCGGGAGGGACAGGGCUUGCUUACUUUAAGAGCUCGGGGCCGGCAAACAUCAUCAGGUCGUGGACGGCCUUAAAGAAGAAGCUCAUGAGGAAGUAGGGCCCGAACGUCUUGUAUAACACCUUGAACAGACAGGGCUCCCGGUCCUUCUGGGGGGACUUGACAAUCAAGGCCUCCGCCUCCUCAUUCACAUCCAGCUUGGAACCCCCUUUCGGCUUGGUGGGGUCCUUCGAGGAGCACACCAUCUUCACCGGCUGCCUGGAACACAGCGGGGGAACAGCUGUGGGGUCCACCAGCGACGCAGCCGCCACCCCAGGGGGAGGCCAGGGGACGUCACCCUUCAGGGAAGGCAGAGCCAAAGACGACAAGCCACCGCAGAGAGGCAGCUUAGCACAGUGGCUCUGAACACGGAGUUCAAACCCCGGCUUGGCCACUGGCCAGCUGUGUCAUUUUAGGCAAGUUCCUUGACCUUGAGGCCUUAGUUUUCUCAUUUGUAAAACAAGGACAAAAGUAGAAGCCACGACACAGGGCUGCUGUGAAAACUGAGUUGCUAACAUGUGAAAGGUCUAGAAAAGCACCAGCCCCGAACUGAUCUACAGAGUCAACGCAAUCAAAACGAGGGCCGGCGUGGGCCAGCUUCUAACAGCUGCCCGCAUUCCUAGACUCACGGCCACUUCCUCCACCUUCAAAGCCGGUCUCUGACCUCCUGUCUCCCACUCACAAGGAAGCUUGUGAUGGCAUCACACCUGCCCAGAGGAGCCAGAAUAUUCUCCCCAUUUCAAAAUCCUUCAUCGCAUCUAGAAACCUUUUGUCAGGCAGGGAAAAAUCAUCGCCUAAGGUGAGCAACGGGACCUGAAUGCUCAAGUCAAGACUCAACAUAAAAGUGGGACCCUUAACUCCCUAAGAACUGAGUACUGCACCUUCAGGCUACACUACGUUUCCAUGUAUAAGCAUUAAGCCCUGGAAGCAACAAAUGCUUACAAAAAUGGUGAAAUCUUACAAAAGUUAAUUUAACAUUACAGUGGAACAUUCUAAAUGAAUAACACUGUACUUCAAGAAAUGCAUUUAAAAAUGAGGGCUCCCAAAUUAGGCUCAUCCAGGGAUGUCUACUGAUGUGCAGAAACUUCUAAGAAGAUUUCAAGAUUUGUACUGACUCUUUUAAAAAACUCUUAACAAAAGAGUGCCACGCCCCGGCACAUGGUCUCAGAGGGUCGUGGCCUACAGAAUCCACAGCCCACUUAAGAAACGUUGUUCUCUCUUCUUUUCUACCCAAAUUGCCUUAACUGCACGUGAGACUCUAUCCCAUUUGGCAGAUGAGCAAACUAUGGCCCAGGGAAGUGAGGCCUCUUGCCCAGAACCACAAAGCUAGUACAAGGCAGCACUGCCAGCCCCUCAACCUGGACUCAGGCCACGGGAAGGAGGUGAUUCAUCCCGAGUGUCUGGCUUCCCAGGAAGUGCAAGGAAACUCACACUUACUUCCUACACUUGGCACAUUCCUUCUUCCAGUUCUUCACCAGCACAGGCACAACUUGUUCCGACGUGUCCUCCCUGUUGAGGGACCAGAGGUCACUGCCCUCCAGGGGCUGGCGGUAGCCCCGGAUCAUCAACCUGGGCCAAGACACAAGGGGACCAGUCGAUGAGAACCGAUGG